rnacentral:rRNA from 1 species
UACGUAGGUGACAAGCGUUAUCCGGAUUUAUUGGGCGUAAAGCGCACGUAGGCGGUUUGUUAAGUCGGAUGUGAAAUCCCUCGGCUCAACUGAGGAAGUGCAUCCGAAACUGGCAGGCUUGAGUACUAAAGAGGGUCGCGGAAUUCCCGGUGUAGAGGUGAAAUCGUAGAUAUCGGGAGGAACACCGGUGGCGAAGGCGGCGACCUGGGUAGAUACGUGACGCUGAGGUGCGAAAGCGUGGGAGCAACAACGG